GGGUUCAGAUAAAAAUCGGCAGCCGGCAGCAGGAAGUGGCUGCCAUUGACAGCCUGAAGGUAGGAGGGACCUGACAGUCGUUAACAGCCAAUCAAUAUCGACCAACGUGAACUCAACCAAUCACAUAUAACUACAACAGCAGCCAUUGCAUGCUUUAGUAAUGGCAGCGAUUGAUCGAGCACCGGUAAGUUUUAAACGGAGUAAUGAAUGUAAGUUUGAUUUUAACUGUUAUCUUAGUAAACGAUAGUGUAACUUUGCCUAUUUUAGUUUAAACGUUAAAUUUAUUCCAAUUCGUGUUAGAAACGUAGUUUGUGUACCAUGUUACAUCAUAAUUGUUGCUGUAUGUUAGGGGGCUAAUAACGUACUUCAAAUAUAACGUUUACGAUUAAAUAUUAACGUUUGUUAACUUGUUAACAAGAGUCUACUGAAUAAUAUAAAAUGAAUGUUGUUUGACUGGAUGUAUAGAAGAUAUACAAGUGCAACACUGUUCAUACUUUUGUGUUUAAUUUUUCAAGUGAUUGUGUGAUAUCCAUCAACUUAUUGAUUUUUUUCUUUUACUAUAACAAUUGACAAAACGGUUAUUUUAACAACUACUCUUCUAUUUCUGCCUUCACCUUUUGUGUAUCUGACUAUCAGUUAUGACAGGUAAGAAGCCAUUACAUUUCCAAAAUCUUACUAACUUAAGUGAAUUAAUUUUUGUUUUGUUUGUUUGUUUUUAUUUUUAGGAAGAAGCAGUGCACAUCAACCAUGUUGGAAGCAUUCAAGGAUGAGACAAAAUGGCAGGAGAAAGAAGUGCAGAACAUCAGAGUACAUCUUGAACAUCUUGAUGUUGCCAGAUGCUGUCCUGUCAGAAGUUCUUCUUCACGUGGUCCUGGAGGAGGGUGAUGCUGCUGCAUUGUUAAAUCUCUCUUUGGUUGGUUCCAAAUUCAGAAGUCUGGUGGACAGGCACACUUCUGCUGGCUUGAUGGUGUAACUAAAUGGAGUACAAAGUCUGAGCCAUCCCAGGACCUUUAGAAAAUGUAUACACUUCAGCCAACACUGCAAUGAAGUGUACAAUAACUGCUUACCAGGUUAUGUUGGAAGAGGAAAACUAGGAGAGAUGCAAGGCUUUUACUCCGAAAACACCCAUCCAGGGGUUUGCAUUGAGUGGUGCAUGAUGCUACAGGAGGAAUAACUCUGUAUAACACAUCAGUUCUGUUCUGAAAGUCUUGUAAAUACCUCCAGGAUUGUUGUUCGUGAUUCUGAUUUCUGACAUCUACUAGGGAGUGCCCCUAAUAUUAUGUGUAUAUGUUUAUGAAGAAGUUUCUUUGUCUCAAAUCAUGCAAUCAUGCUCUUCUGCAAAUCAUGCACCAAAGGGUACUGUAUUUCUUAUGUUUUAUAUCUUAAGGACCACAAUGGAUAUAAGCCUAUGGGCUUUUUGUAUUUUUAUCUUUUUGAACACUUCAUGUUGAUUGUUGUUCAAUAAAGUAUUUAAUCAAUUCAAUCAAUCAUAAUCUUUCUUUCUAAUACAUGUAUCCAAAGCUUUCUACUCUAAUUAACUUUUUAAUACAAAACUGUAUAUGUGUCUUUUAUUAAACAAUAUAAUAUAUAUUCUCAACUCUUAAUACUUUACAUUAAAGCAACACUUGGAGUAUAAAAUAACAACACCGGUUUCUAAUGUUCUGAAGGAUUGCAUAUUAAAUUGGUUAUAAUACUUAGCUUAUAAAGUUUGGAUAAUUUGCAUAUUACACAACGUGUUAAUGUGCCUGUUUCUUGAGUUACUAAUGUAAAAAAAACAAGCAAAAUAAAAAUAUUUAAAAUAAAGGUCAUUGGUGAGACCUGUCUCUCUUUGUCAUUUAGGCGUGUGUGUUUGGCCUGUAAAAUAAAUAUACAACAUACAGUACAUCUAGUGGGAAGUGCCUCAUAUAAAUAUGAAUUCAUUUAUCUAGGUGUUUUUGUGCAUCUCUUUCAUUACUUCACACAAACAUUGAUUUAGACGCAUAUGCAUACAUAAAUAUUCAGCUGGAAUUUAACGUUUGGCCAAAUUCUCUUUUUCUUUGUUUAAAUUCAAUAAACCUUUUUAAUCCGAAAAUACUGACAUUUAUACUUAUUUAAAUAAGUAUUAGAAAUUAUAAUUAUUUGUCUUGGUGCCGCUGACAGCCUCCUCUUUAUUCCGGUUUUAGUGUUUGUG